rnacentral:rRNA from 1 species
AUCUCUUAGAUUGAACGCGGCGGCAGGCCUAACACAUGCAAGUCGAACGGUAACAGGAAGCAGCUUGCUGCUUUGCUGACGAGUGGCGGACGGGUGAGUAAUGUCUGGGAAACUGCCUGAUGGAGGGGGAUAACUACUGGAAACGGUGGCUAAUACCGCAUAACGUCGCAAGACCAAAGAGGGGGCCUUCGGGCCUCUUGCCAUCAGAUGUGCCCAGAUGGGAUUAGCUUGUUGGUGAGGUAACGGCUCACCAAGGCGACGAUCCCUAGCUGGUCUGAGAGGAUGACCAGCCACACUGGAACUGAGACACGGUCCAGACUCCUACGGGAGGCAGCAGUGGGGAAUAUUGCACAAUGGGCGCAAGCCUGAUGCAGCCAUGCCGCGUGUAUGAAGAAGGCCUUCGGGUUGUAAAGUACUUUCAGCGGGGAGGAAGGUGUUGUGGUUAAUAACCGCAGCAAUUGACGUUACCCGCAGAAGAAGCACCGGCUAACUCCGUGCCAGCAGCCGCGGUAAUACGGAGGGUGCAAGCGUUAAUCGGAAUUACUGGGCGUAAAGCGCACGCAGGCGGUCUGUCAAGUCGGAUGUGAAAUCCCCGGGCUCAACCUGGGAACUGCAUUCGAAACUGGCAGGCUUGAGUCUUGUAGAGGGGGGUAGAAUUCCAGGUGUAGCGGUGAAAUGCGUAGAGAUCUGGAGGAAUACCGGUGGCGAAGGCGGCCCCCUGGACAAAGACUGACGCUCAGGUGCGAAAGCGUGGGGAGCAAACAGGAUUAGAUACCCUGGUAGUCCACGCCGUAAACGAUGUCUACUUGGAGGUUGUGCCCUUGAGGCGUGGCUUCCGGAGCUAACGCGUUAAGUAGACCGCCUGGGGAGUACGGCCGCAAGGUUAAAACUCAAAUGAAUUGACGGGGGCCCGCACAAGCGGUGGAGCAUGUGGUUUAAUUCGAUGCAACGCGAAGAACCUUACCUGGUCUUGACAUCCACAGAACUUUCCAGAGAUGGAUUGGUGCCUUCGGGAACUGUGAGACAGGUGCUGCAUGGCUGUCGUCAGCUCGUGUUGUGAAAUGUUGGGUUAAGUCCCGCAACGAGCGCAACCCUUAUCCUUUGUUGCCAGCGGUCCGGCCGGGAACUCAAAGGAGACUGCCAGUGAUAAACUGGAGGAAGGUGGGGAUGACGUCAAGUCAUCAUGGCCCUUACGACCAGGGCUACACACGUGCUACAAUGGCGCAUACAAAGAGAAGCGACCUCGCGAGAGCAAGCGGACCUCAUAAAGUGCGUCGUAGUCCGGAUUGGAGUCUGCAACUCGACUCCAUGAAGUCGGAAUCGCUAGUAAUCGUGGAUCAGAAUGCCACGGUGAAUACGUUCCCGGGCCUUGUACACACCGCCCGUCACACCAUGGGAGUGGGUUGCAAAAGAAGUAGGUAGCUUAACCUUCGGGAGGGCGCUUACCACUUUGUGAUUCAUGACUGGGGUGAGUC